rnacentral:rRNA from 1 species
UGGGGAAUAUUGGACAAUGGGCGCAAGCCUGAUCCAGCCAUGCCGCGUGAGUGAUGAAGGCCCUAGGGUUGUAAAGCUCUUUCACCGGUGAAGAUAAUGACGGUAACCGGAGAAGAAGCCCCGGCUAACUUCGUGCCAGCAGCCGCGGUAAUACGAAGGGGGCUAGCGUUGUUCGGAUUUACUGGGCGUAAAGCGCACGUAGGCGGACUUUUAAGUCAGGGGUGAAAUCCCGGGGCUCAACCCCGGAACUGCCUUUGAUACUGGAAGUCUGGAGUAUGGUAGAGGAGAGUGGAAUUCCGAGUGUAGAGGUGAAAUUCGUAGAUAUUCGGAGGAACACCAGUGGCGAAGGCGGCUAACUGGACCAUUACUGACGCUGAGGAGCGAAAGCGUGGGGAGCAAACAGG